AGAUAAAUGACUGUGAUCUAAACAUAUUACAUGUGGAUGCUACAUUUGGAGGGGCUACACACGACAGCUUCAUUUUUAAUAAUUCUGUCAUACAGCAUCACCUGGAGCAACUAAACAAUGCGGGAGAGACAGCAUAUUUGUUAGGUGAUUCUGCUUAUGGGCAGAGAUCCUACUUGAUGACCCCAUGUGCCAAUCCUGAGCCUGGUUCUCCAGAGGAGCAUUACAAUACACUGCAUAGUACAGCAAGGAAUAGUGUUGAAAGGACAAUCGGAAUUUUAAAGGGCAGAUUUAGAUGUCUUCUGGUUCAUAGAGUUUUACACUAUGAUCCAGAAAUGGUGUCUAAAAUCAUUAUUGCUUGCUGUAUCUUGCACAAUAUUUGUAAUCGCGCUGGAUUACCAGUAUUAGAGUUGCCACAUAAUUUGCAAGAAGAAGAAAUUCGCGCAAAUGAAGUGCUACAAAGCGAGGGUCAUCACAUAGAGCCGGCAUCUCUAGGCGCCCUAGAACGUGGUCGGGCUUCCCGCCAGCAACUUAUAAAUAUUUUAUGGCGUGGGAGGCAUUAAAUAAAAGUGUAACCUGCUUUACUUAUUAUAUAUAUAUUAUUAUUUAAAUAUUAUUACUUAUAAUUAUUUAAUUUUAACAUUGUAAUAUUAGAGUACAAAAUUAAAUCAUAGCUAUUAUUAUUAUUUUUUUAUCAAAAUAAUGAAAUAAAAAUAAUAUGAAAAUAAA
rnacentral:misc_RNA from 1 species